AACUCUAGGCAAUCGCUGCCGGGAUAAUCCCGGUAGAGGAAGUUCCAGGCUCGCACAUCCUGCGAUGGAUGUAGUGUUCGUGCCCGUUCGUAAUGGCGGGGCAGUCAGCUUUUUAGCAGACUGACGGCGGGGAAAGCAUCCUACAGCCAUCUUGGCCAUGGUGCAAAUACCCUGAAAGUGGAUAGAGACGAGUCGUCGGGGAAACUCGACGAGUGGAACGACUAAACCCCACGAGCGAGCAACUCAGUGUGUAGAGGCACCUGGCUGAGAGAAAUGAAUCGACGCUGGGACGAUCGCCAUAUGAUCGUAGAAAAAUGAUUGCCCCUUCUGUGGGAGGCUGGGAAGCCAAGAACCACAUUGGGACAGAACCUGGGCUAUCGGA
rnacentral:RNase_P_RNA from 1 species